rnacentral:tRNA from 1 species
GCCCGGAUGGCGGAAUGGCAGACGCAGGGAGCUUAAACCUCCCGGACCGCGAGGUCGUGCGGGUUCGACCCCCGCUCCGGGCA